rnacentral:snRNA from 1 species
AGACUUACCUGGCAGGGGAGAUACCAUGAUCACAAAGGUGGUUUUCCCAGGGUGAGGCUUAUCCAUUGCACUCCGGAUGUGCUGACCCCUGUGAUUUCCCCAAAUGCGGGAAACUCGACUGCAUAAUUUGUGGUAGUGGGGCACUGCAUUCGUGCUUUCCUCUG